UACGUAGGGGGCAAGCGUUGUCCGGAAUCAUUGGGCGUAAAGCGCGUGUAGGCGGCUCGGUAAGUCCGCUCUGAAAGUCCAGGGCUCAACCCUGGGAUGCGGGUGGAUACUGCCGGGCUCGAGUCCGGAAGAGACGAGUGGAAUUCCCGGUGUAGCGGUGAAAUGCGCAGAUAUCGGGAGGAACACCAGUGGCGAAGGCGGCUUCCUGGCCUGCUCUUGACGCUGAGGCGCGAAAGCUAGGGUAGCAAGCGGG
rnacentral:rRNA from 1 species